rnacentral:rRNA from 1 species
AUUGAACGCUGGCGGCAGGCCUAACACAUGCAAGUCGAGCGGAUGAAGGGAGCUUGCUCCUGGAUUCAGCGGCGGACGGGUGAGUAAUGCCUAGGAAUCUGCCUGGUAGUGGGGGAUAACGUCCGGAAACGGGCGCUAAUACCGCAUACGUCCUGAGGGAGAAAGUGGGGGAUCUUCGGACCUCACGCUAUCAGAUGAGCCUAGGUCGGAUUAGCUAGUUGGUGGGGUAAAGGCCUACCAAGGCGACGAUCCGUAACUGGUCUGAGAGGAUGAUCAGUCACACUUGAACUGAGACACGGUCCAGACUCCUACGGGAGGCAGCAGUGGGGAAUAUUGGACAAUGGGCGAAAGCCUGAUCCAGGCAAGCCGCGUGUGUGAAGAAGGUCUUCGGAUUGUAAAGCACUUUAAGUUGGGAGGAAGGGCAGUAAGUUAAUACCUUGCUGUUUUGACGUUACCAACAGAAUAAGCACCGGCUAACUUCGUG